UCCCCAGUAGCUCAGUGGUAAAGAAUCUGCCUAUGAAUGCAGGAGACGCAGGUUCGAUCCCUGGAUGGGGAA
rnacentral:tRNA from 1 species